UACGAAGGGUGCAAGCGUUGUUCGGAUUUAUUGGGCGUAAAGCGCGCGCAGGCGGUCUUGUAAGUCAGAUGUGAAAUCUCGGGGCUCAACCCCGAAACUGCGUCUGAAACUGCAAGACUAGAGUUAUGGAGGGGAAAGCGGAAUUUCGCAUGUAGGGGUAAAAUCCGUAGAGAUGCGAAGGAACACCAGAGCCGAAGGGGGCUUUCUGGCCAUAUACUGACGCUGAGGCGCGAAAGCGUGGGGAGCAAACAGG
rnacentral:rRNA from 1 species